CCCUGUAUUCAAGAGUGACUGUGGGCUGCCAUGUCCCGGUCAUUGGUACUGCCUGGAGAGGAUGUUGAAGCUUUUCCAUGUGUUUGGAAGGUUGUGUCUGUCCUUGCCAAACUCUGGUGCUUCUAACA